rnacentral:tRNA from 2 species
GAAAAAGUAUGCAAGAACUGCUAAUUCAUGCUCCCAUGUCUAAUAACAUGGCUUUUUCA